rnacentral:rRNA from 1 species
GUGUCAGCAGCCGCGGUAAAACGUAGGUACCGAGCGUUAUCCGGAUUUACUGGGCGUAAAGCGCGUUCAGGCGGUUUGGCAAGUCGGGCAUGAAAUCUCUCGGCUCAACCGGGAGAGGUUGUCCGAUACUGCUGGACUUGAGGGCAGUAGAGGGUGGUGGAAUUCCGGGUGUAGUGGUGAAAUGCGUAGAUAUCCGGAGGAACACCAGUGGCGAAAGCGGCCACCUGGACUGCACCUGACGCUGACACGCGAAAGCUAGGGGAGCGAACGGGAUUAGAAACCCCUGUAGUCC